GCUAAUUAGUUAGCUCGCUAGCUUGCUAUGCUGGCGGCGGCCGUCUGUUUUGUCCCUGCAGUGAUCCUGUAGCCUGAAGAAUGCAACAUAAACAAAUGGCUGAGAUCGAGUGGACAAAAAAAAGUCUUCCUCUCAUUCCGUCUGGAAGUGGCUGCAUGACAAGAGGUUCGCUCCCAAAUGCUGAUACUAUGUGGGAAUGCAUAAAAGGUUGAAGUGUUUCGUCAGCUCACCUUGAUGGAGUCCACCAGGUCCUCCACCAGAAAGAGGCGCCUCAACUCGCCGACGCUCUUGUUGAUUUUCUCCAGAACCAUGUCGCUGUACUUGUGGACCAUGUCCUCGGACAGCGCCACCUCCCGGUCCAGAUACUGCCUGCAAGGAAGCGCAGUCAGACGUGCUUAGCGUGAGCGUGUGUAGGACCACCGUGAUGGACUCACUUGAAGGGGUGUCCUUCAUCGGACUUCUGGAUGGCCUGCAGGAUGCCUUUGUAUAUCCUGAAGCAGAUGGUGACAGAGAGGAGCGCCAGGCCGAUGUAGGAGCACACGCUCACGAUGCUGCAUACCGUCAGCGACAGCAGCAGCAGCAGGGCGGCACCAAACACCACCCCCGUGGUCUUCACAUCGCGCCAGUAGAGGAGAUCCACCACUG